AUUGAACGCUGGCGGCAGGCCUAACACAUGCAAGUCGAGCGAGCGGCGGACGGGUGAGGAAUGUGUGGGGAUCUGCCCGAUAGGGGGGGAUAACUACUGGAAACGCUAGCUCAUACCGCGUACUCUCGGAUGUACCCCUAUGGGAUUAGCUAGUGGGGGAGGGAAUGGCGCACCAAGGCGACGAUCCCUAGCUGGUCUGAGAGGAUGAUCAGCCACACUGGAACUGAGACACGGCCCAGACUCCUACGGGAGGCAGCAGUGGGGAAUAUUGGACAAUGGGCGAAAGCCUGAUCCAGCCAUGCCGCGUGUAUGAAGAAGGCCUUCGGGUUGUAAAGUACUUUUGGCAGGGAGGCGGUAUCUGCAGAAUAAGCACCGGCUAACUACGUGCCAGCAGCCGCGGUAAUAC
rnacentral:rRNA from 1 species